rnacentral:rRNA from 1 species
AUGGCUGUCGUCAGCUCGUGUCGUGAGAUGUUGGGUUAAGUCCCGCAACGAGCGCAACCCACGUCGUUAGUUGCCAGCAUUUAGUUGGGCACUCUAGCGAGACCGCCGGUGAUAAACCGGAGGAAGGUGUGGAUGACGUCAAGUCAUCAUGCCCCUUACAUCCUGGGCUACACACGUACUACAAUGCUACGGACAAAGGGCAGCAAACUCGCGAGAGCUAGCAAAUCCCAUAAACCGUGGCUCAGUUCAGAUCGUAGGCUGCAACUCGCCUACGUGAAGGAGGAAUCGCUAGUAAUCGCAGGUCAGCAUACUGCGGUGAAUACGUUCCCGGGCCUUGUACACACCGCCCGUGGGGCGGGGGCGGCGGGCCGGGCGCGGGGCGCGGCGGGCCG